rnacentral:tRNA from 1 species
GCCUCGGUGGCUCGGUAGGUUAGAGCGCGACAUUGGUAAUGUCGAGGUCGUGGGUUCGAUUCCCACCCGAGGCU